GGGUUGUGAGGUUAAGCGACUAAGCGUACACGGUGGAUGCCCUGGCAGUCAGAGGCGAUGAAGGACGUGCUAAUCUGCGAAAAGCGUCGGUAAGGUGAUAUGAACCGUUAUAACCGGCGAUGUCCGAAUGGGGAAACCCAGUGCAAUUCGUUGCACUAUCGUUAACUGAAUACAUAGGUUAACGAGGCGAACCGGGGGAACUGAAACAUCUAAGUACCCCGAGGAAAAGAAAUCAACCGAGAUUCCCCCAGUAGCGGCGAGCGAACGGGGAGCAGCCCAGAGUCUGAAUCAGCUUGUGUGUUAGUGGAACGGUCUGGAAAGUCCGACGGUACAGGGUGAUAGUCCCGUACACCAAAAUGCACAGGUUGUGAACUCGAAGAGUAGGGCGGGACACGUGGUAUCCUGUCUGAAUAUGGGGGGACCAUCCUCCAAGGCUAAAUACUCCUGACUGACCGAUAGUGAACCAGUACCGUGAGGGAAAGGCGAAAAGAACCCCGGCGAGGGGAGUGAAAAAGAACCUGAAACCGUGUACGUACAAGCAGUGGGAGCACCUUCGGGUGUGACUGCGUACCUUUUGUAUAAUGGGUCAGCGACUUAUAUUCUGUAGCAAGGUUAACCGUAUAGGGGAGCCGCAGGGAAACCGAGUCUUAACUGGGCGUUAAGUUGCAGGGUAUAGACCCGAAACCCGGUGAUCUAGCCAUGGGCAGGUUGAAGGUUGGGUAACACUAACUGGAGGACCGAACCGACUAAUGUUGAAAAAUUAGCGGAUGACUUGUGGCUGGGGGUGAAAGGCCAAUCAAACCGGGAGAUAGCUGGUUCUCCCCGAAAGCUAUUUAGGUAGCGCCUCGUGAAUUCAUCUUCGGGGGUAGAGCACUGUUUCGGCUAGGGGGUCAUCCCGACUUACCAACCCGAUGCAAACUACGAAUACCGAAGAAUGUUAUCACGGGAGACACACGGCGGGUGCUAACGUCCGUCGUGAAGAGGGAAACAACCCAGACCGCCAGCUAAGGUCCCAAAGUCAUGGUUAAGUGGGAAACGAUGUGGGAAGGCACAGACAGCCAGGAUGUUGGCUUAGAAGCAGCCAUCAUUUAAAGAAAGCGUAAUAGCUCACUGGUCGAGUCGGCCUGCGCGGAAGAUGUAACGGGGCUAAACCAUGCACCGAAGCUGCGGCAGCGACACUAUGUGUUGUUGGGUAGGGGAGCGUUCUGUAAGCCUGCGAAGGUGUGCUGUGAGGCAUGCUGGAGGUAUCAGAAGUGCGAAUGCUGACAUAAGUAACGAUAAAGCGGGUGAAAAGCCCGCUCGCCGGAAGACCAAGGGUUCCUGUCCAACGUUAAUCGGGGCAGGGUGAGUCGACCCCUAAGGCGAGGCCGAAAGGCGUAGUCGAUGGGAAACAGGUUAAUAUUCCUGUACUUGGUGUUACUGCGAAGGGGGACGGAGAAGGCUAUGUUAGCCGGGCGACGGUUGUCCCGGUUUAAGCAUGUAGGCUGGUUGUCCAGGCAAAUCCGGAUAAUCAAGGCUGAGGUGUGAUGACGAGGCACUACGGUGCUGAAGUAACAAAUGCCCUGCUUCCAGGAAAAGCCUCUAAGCAUCAGGUAACAUCAAAUCGUACCCCAAACCGACACAGGUGGUCAGGUAGAGAAUACCAAGGCGCUUGAGAGAACUCGGGUGAAGGAACUAGGCAAAAUGGUGCCGUAACUUCGGGAGAAGGCACGCUGGUGUGUAGGUGAAGUCCCUGCGGAUGGAGCUGAGACCAGUCGAAGAUACCAGCUGGCUGCAACUGUUUAUUAAAAACACAGCACUGUGCAAACACGAAAGUGGACGUAUACGGUGUGACGCCUGCCCGGUGCCGGAAGGUUAAUUGAUGGGGUUAUCCGUAAGGAGAAGCUCUUGAUCGAAGCCCCGGUAAACGGCGGCCGUAACUAUAACGGUCCUAAGGUAGCGAAAUUCCUUGUCGGGUAAGUUCCGACCUGCACGAAUGGCGUAAUGAUGGCCAGGCUGUCUCCACCCGAGACUCAGUGAAAUUGAACUCGCUGUGAAGAUGCAGUGUACCCGCGGCAAGACGGAAAGACCCCGUGAACCUUUACUAUAGCUUGACACUGAACAUUGAGCCUUGAUGUGUAGGAUAGGUGGGAGGCUUUGAAGCGUGGACGCCAGUCUGCGUGGAGCCAACCUUGAAAUACCACCCUUUAAUGUUUGAUGUUCUAACGUUGGCCCCUGACCGGGGUUGCGGACAGUGUCUGGUGGGUAGUUUGACUGGGGCGGUCUCCUCCCAAAGCGUAACGGAGGAGCACGAAGGUUAGCUAAUCCUGGUCGGACAUCAGGAGGUUAGUGCAAUGGCAUAAGCUAGCUUGACUGCGAGCGUGACGGCGCGAGCAGGUGCGAAAGCAGGUCAUAGUGAUCCGGUGGUUCUGAAUGGAAGGGCCAUCGCUCAACGGAUAAAAGGUACUCCGGGGAUAACAGGCUGAUACCGCCCAAGAGUUCAUAUCGACGGCGGUGUUUGGCACCUCGAUGUCGGCUCAUCACAUCCUGGGGCUGAAGUAGGUCCCAAGGGUAUGGCUGUUCGCCAUUUAAAGUGGUACGCGAGCUGGGUUUAGAACGUCGUGAGACAGUUCGGUCCCUAUCUGCCGUGGGCGCUGGAGAAUUGAGGGGGGCUGCUCCUAGUACGAGAGGACCGGAGUGGACGCAUCACUGGUGUUCGGGUUGUCAUGCCAAUGGCACUGCCCGGUAGCUAAAUGCGGAAGAGAUAAGUGCUGAAAGCAUCUAAGCACGAAACUUGCCCCGAGAUGAGUUCUCCCUGAGACUUUAAGUCUCCUGAAGGAACGUUAAAGACGAUGACGUUGAUAGGCCGGGUGUGUAAGCGCAGCGAUGCGUUGAGCUAACCGGUACUAAUGAACCGUGAGGCUUAACCUUACAACGCCGAAG
rnacentral:rRNA from 1 species